GACGAACGCUGGCGGCGUGCUUAACACAUGCAAGUCGAACGAAGUGGCGAACGGGUGAGUAAGGCGUAAUCAACCUGCUCUUCUGAGGGUGACAACAGUUGGAAACGACUGCUAAUACCGCAUACUGAAGGAGGGGACUGCGUCGGAUUAGCUAGUAGGUGGGGUAACGGCUCACCUAGGCGACGAUCCCUAGCUGGUCUGAGAGGAUGACCAGCCACACUGGGACUGAGACACGGUCCAGACUCCUACGGGAGGCAGCAGUGGGGAAUAUUGCACAAUGGGCGAAAGCCUGAUGCAGCCAUGCCGCGUGUGUGAAGAAGGCCUUCGGGUUGUAAAGUACUUUCAGCAGGGAGCGUUACCCGCAGAAGAAGCAACGGCUAACUCCGUGCCAGCAGCCGCGGUAAUAC
rnacentral:rRNA from 1 species